AGUGAACGCUGGCGAUAGGCCUAACACAUGCAAGUCGAACGGCAGCACAGUAAGAGCUUGCUCUUACGGGUGGCGAGUGGCGGGCGGGUGAGGAAUACAUCGGAAUCUACUUUUUCGUGGGGGAUAACGUAGGGAAACUUACGCUAAUACCGCAUACGACCUACGGGUGAAAGCAGGGGAUCUUCGGACCUUGCGCGAUUGAAUGAGCCGAUGUCGGAUUAGCUAGUCGGCGGGGUAAAGGCCCACCAAGGCGACGAUCCGUAGCUGGUCUGAGAGGAUGAUCAGCCACACUGGAACUGAGACACGGUCCAGACUCCUACGGGAGGCAGCAGUGGGGAAUAUUGGACAAUGGGCGCAAGCCUGAUCCAGCCAUACCGCGUGGGUGAAGAAGGCCUUCGGGUUGUAAAGCCCUUUUGUUGGGAAAGAAAAGCAGCAGGUUAAUACCCCGCUGUUCUGACGGUACCCAAAGAAUAAGCACCGGCUAACUUCGUG
rnacentral:rRNA from 1 species